rnacentral:rRNA from 1 species
UGAGGGGGGCUGCUCCUAGUACGAGAGGACCGGAGUGGACGCAUCACUGGUGUUCGGGUUGUCAUGCCAAUGGCACUGCCCGGUAGCUAAAUGCGGAAAAGGUAAGUGCUGAAAGCAUCUAAGCACGAAACUUGCCCCGAGAUGAGUCUUCCCUGAGACUUUGAGUCUCCUGAAGGAACGUUAAAGACGAUGACGUUGAUAGGCCGGGUGUGUAAGCGCAGCGAUGCGUUGAGCUAACCGGUACUAAUGAACCGUGAGGCUUAACCUUACAACGCCGAAGCUGUU